GUUUCCUUCGUUUAGGGGUUAGGACGUUGCUUUUUCAAAGCAAAAACAAGGGUUCAAAUCCCUUAGGAAUGA
rnacentral:tRNA from 1 species